UGGAGUUUUGAAGUCUUUCUGCUCUUAAUUCUACUGCAAAGAGUUUGUACAGCUGUGUCAACUUUAUCAAAAGGUGCCAUUCUUAUACGUACCCUUUCAAGUGAGGGAGAGCACUUCACUGCUUACAGUAACUGUGUAGGGAGAGAGAGGCAGCUGCAAGAUACCUCUGCAAAACUACUGAGAAAUAGGAAAAAUCAUUGACUUGAGCCUUCACAUAUUCUGAAAUCUCGAGAGCUUGACAGCACCAUCAAUUUUGUAUUGACAGCAGCAGUCAGACAAAAGUCAUUUAAGGAGUAAAUCAAGGAGAAGAAAAACACUCCUUAAUCCACAGUUAUACAAAUCCAUGCUGCCUGCAGAGGAGCUUGUGCUUAGGAGCCUGUUUUAAUAGCAGUACAUUAACAUCUUUGUUUGUCUUUCCUGAAGCUUGCAGAGCUUUUUUCUCCCCCUCUCAGAAUCCAGCCUGUUUGACAACACGUGUGUCAGAUGGGCAGAUAUCGAGCCCAUAACUGACACCUAUUGACAGCCCAUGACACCGACAGCAUCAGUGCGGGGCUGGCAGUGCCGCUGAGCCCUUACACAUAUCAAGGUCACUGCUUCUGCUCCGGCUGGAGCUCUGCCCUUGGGCACAUGCUGCCCCAGGAAGCUUCUGCCUGAGCACGUCACAAGCCGCAGCCGCUCUGCCCCGCUCCUUACAUAAGAUGGGAGUGAAGUUUCUACUAUUAGAAACAGUUAGUGGCAUGGCAAGCUGGGACGCUGCUGAUCGCAGCACAGGAAUGGCUGCUGGCAGUGGGAUUACAACUACAGCUAUUCUAAUUCGGGGAGCAGCAUCAGGCAGGUCGAGAUGUGCCAAGAGAAACAGUAGUUUGGAGGUAGUUUCUGUUUUUUGUUUUUAAUCCCUAUCAGUGGUGCCCUGGACAGCAGUGCUCCAGAAGAGAGCCAAAGGGGAGAGAGCAUCACCCCCUGCUUGUCAGACAUCCACAGCCGAGCUGGAAAUUUCGAUGCCAAAGCUGCCAUCCCGCAAGCAGUGAGGAUGUCCCAUUUCUGCACCUGUCGUCCCCAUUUGCACACCUUUAGGAUGUGGGCAGGUGCCAUUGCCCAGGCCGUGCGGCUCUGACAAGGGAGGCUGGGGGAGGCAGGAUGGAGCUGAGGUCAGCACUAAGUUUCUCCCCCACGGAAAGAUAUGGCCUUGAGAACACGUGUGGAUUGGUUGUUCCUCAGCCCACCUCCAGCACCUCGCAAGCAGAAGCUGAUCCCCUCCAGCCCGCUACAGAGGUAUCGGGCAAGGCAGAGCAGUGGAGGAGUGCCAUGCUUGGGCUCUCCCUGGCCAGCCAAGCAGUACUGCAGUGUGGGUCCCACACUGGCAGAGCCAUGGCUACAGCGAGGGCUGCAUGUGCCAGAGCCCUCUGUCUGGCAUCUUUCCCAAAUCAUAAAUUCUCUUAAAAAAAAAAAAAAAACCUCCCAGAAAAUAAAACAAAAAAUAUCAGGCAGCAUAAUCUUAAUUGUACAUUCUGCUUUUCUCUUCAGUCCAAAAUAAUGGAAAUGGCAUUAAUACAGUGCUGCACUGAGCAUGUACCCGCACAGGGGCCGAAGGACUGCCUCUGCUUUUUGAAAGGUAGGGGCACAGCCUCUGGCAAGGCAGAGCAGGGCUUAAGCAGUGAGCAGGAGCAAUGAACUUCUGCUGUUCCCUGCUGCUUGAGCGUGGGCAAAAUAAAAGACCAUAAUAUAUGAUGCAGUCAGCCAAGAAAGCAAUAUUGCUCUGCCAUGUGCACGCUUUAUACUGAGACGCGUCCAGGAUCUCAUUUCAAAAUUCCCAUAGGUGCCUCAUUUAAGCCAUCAGCCAUAACCUGCUUCUCAUUUUCAAUACCACUUGGUAUUAGAGCUGCAGCGAACCGCUGGUGAGAGAUUCUAAUUCCUGCAAACAAGCCCCUGUAGGCUUGCAAGGAAAACAGAGAGUUCCCCUCUCAGUUGCCUGCUAGGUUCCCAUCUGGCUGUUUUAACUCUGCGAUUGCUUUUAAAUGUGCCUGUUUCUGCACACGAGGCUUUCAGCUCUACCUCAAGAGACUCCAGGGUUCUCUUAGCAUCAGAUUUUGGCCAAAAUGUAGAGACACGGAUUGGGUCUUCUUAACAAAAAGGAAGAUCAGGUUUCACAUUACAGUAUCUGAAAGAUUAAUUUCACUUACAUGAUCGUUUCCCUGUGAACUAUACUUCUUUCCAUCUGGAUUUUUCCAUCAGGAGGACAAAGAGCCAUAGUGUGAAGCACUACCUGUGAGAAAAGAGGGGAAAAGACGACUGCAGAGUAGCUCGAUCAGAGAAAAGAGAUGGAAAAACGGGAGAGACAACAAUUUAAAAUGCUUCAGCGGGCCCAUUUUUGUUUGUUUUUCAUGUGAAUUAUAUUCUGACCUCAUGCUUUAGUAUUGCAAACCACCUAAUUUGCUGGGUUUUGUUUCAGUGAGUUCAGGAUAUUUGGCUGCAGAAGUUUUCAGGGUCAUGUUACUGUUACCCAGUGUUUGCCUUAUCAUGGAAACAACAGGUCCACCCCAAACCAGCAGUCCUGCUGUUCCUGAGGCCACAACCACCUUGUGUCACUGAAAGACACCUGUCACUCCCCAGGCUGUCGCCACAGCCACCAGCAGAGCCUUGCCAGCUGAGAAGGUGCAGGGGACGUGGUGGUGGUAGGACAGGACCUGGGGGCCAGCUGCUGCCCUGUGAUGGGCUCCUCUUGGGAAGUGGGAUAGUUCAGCUUCUACAACUCAGUUCUGGCCUUAGGAGGCAUGGUAAUACUACAGCAGAAUGGCAGCAGGCCCUCCCCAUGCUGCAGGAGUGAAAACGAAAGAUGCUUGG
ensembl:lncRNA